rnacentral:sRNA from 2 species
CGCCCGUCACACCAUGGGAGCUGGUAAUACCCAAAGUCGGUUUGCUAACCUAACGGAGGCGACUGCCUAAGGUAGGACUGGUGACUGGGGUGAAGUCGUAACAAGGUAUCCCUACGAGAACGUGGGGAUGGAUUACCUCCUUUCUACGGAGUACAAUUGAAGUUAUCCAUACUUCAUAUAUGUUAAUGGGCCAAUAUUCGUACCCAGUUUUGAGAGAAUUAUUCUCUCUUUUAUUCUUUGAAAACUGAAUUAGACAUUGAAAAUUAAAAUAUUAAUAUUCAAAAAUUUAGAUCAACCUAUAGAAUAUUCAAAAAUAUAGAGACAAACAAAAACAAUAGGUCAAAUACUUAUACGUAAUAUAUAACUAUUAAAUAAGCAAGAGUUUUUGGUGGAUGCCUUGGGUCUGGAAGUCGAUGAAGGACGUGAUUACCUGCGAUAAGCUUCGUUUAGCUGGAAAUAAGCAUUUAGACGGAGAUUUCCGAAUGGGGAAACCUAAUUAGGGUAAUGCCUAAUUGUCAUAAUCGGUGAAUCCAUAGCCGAAUGAUGAGACACGCUGUGAAUUGAAACAUCUCAGUAACAGCAGGAAAAGAAAAUAAAGAAUGAUUCCCUGAGUAGUGGCGAGCGAACGGGGAAAAGCCUAAACCAACACUUGUUGUUGGGGUUGUAGGACUACUUAUACAAAGUUAGACAAAUAUUUACAUAUAGCAGAAUAAGUUGGAAUGCUUAAACAUAGAGGGUGAAAUUCCCGUAAGCGAAAUGUGUAAAUCUUUUAGUAGUAUCCUGAGUAGGGCGGGGCACGUGAAACCCUGUCUGAAUCUGCCGGGACCACCCGGUAAGGCUAAAUACUAACCAGACACCGAUAGUGAACUA